rnacentral:rRNA from 1 species
CCUACGGGCGGCAGCAGUGAGGAAUAUUGGUCAAUGGGCGCGAGCCUGAACCAGCCAAGUCGCGUGAGGGAUGAAGGUACAGAGUAUCGUAAACCUCUUUUGUCAGGGAACAAAGGCGGGGACGUGUCCCCGGAUGAGUGUACCUGAAGAAAAAGCAUCGGCUAACUCCGUGCCAGCAGCCGCGGUAAUACGGAGGAUGCGAGCGUUAUCCGGAUUUAUUGGGUUUAAAGGGUGCGCAGGCGGUCUGUUAAGUCAGCGGUCAAAGCCCGGGGCUCAACCCCGGCCCGCCGUUGAAACUGGCAGUCUCGAGUUGGAGAGAAGUAUGCGGAAUGCGCGGUGUAGCGGUGAAAUGCAUAGAUAUCGCGCAGAACUCCGAUUGCGAAGGCAGCAUGCCGGCUCCACACUGACGCUGAGGCACGAAAGCGUGGGUAUCGAACAGGAUUAGAUACCCUUGUAGUC